UGGCGGCGUGCUUAACACAUGCAAGUCGAACGGAAAGGCCCCUUCGGGGGUACUCGAGUGGCGAACGGGUGAGUAACACGUGGGCAAUCUGCCCUGCACUUCGGGAUAAGCCUGGGAAACUGGGUCUAAUACCGGAUAGGACCACUUGGCGCAUGCCUUGUGGUGGAAAGCUUUUGCGGUGUGGGAUGGGCCCGCGGCCUAUCAGCUUGUUGGUGGGGUGAUGGCCUACCAAGGCGACGACGGGUAGCCGGCCUGAGAGGGUGUCCGGCCACACUGGGACUGAGAUACGGCCCAGACUCCUACGGGAGGCAGCAGUGGGGAAUAUUGCACAAUGGGCGCAAGCCUGAUGCAGCGACGCCGCGUGGGGGAUGACGGCCUUCGGGUUGUAAACCUCUUUCAGCAGGGACGAAGCGAAAGUGACGGUACCUGCAGAAGAAGCACCGGCCAACUACGUGCCAGCAGCCGCGGUAAUACGUAGGGUGCGAGCGUUGUCCGGAAUUACUGGGCGUAAAGAGCUCGUAGGUGGUUUGUCGCGUUGUUCGUGAAAACCGGGGGCUUAACCCUCGGCGUGCGGGCGAUACGGGCAGACUAGAGUACUGCAGGGGAGACUGGAAUUCCUGGUGUAGCGGUGGAAUGCGCAGAUAUCAGGAGGAACACCGGUGGCGAAGGCGGGUCUCUGGGCAGUAACUGACGCUGAGGAGCGAAAGCGUGGGGAGCGAACAGGAUUAGAUACCCUGGUAGUCCACGCCGUAAACGGUGGGUACUAGGUGUGGGUUUCCUUCCUUGGGAUCCGUGCCGUAGCUAACGCAUUAAGUACCCCGCCUGGGGAGUACGGCCGCAAGGCUAAAACUCAAAGGAAUUGACGGGGGCCCGCACAAGCGGCGGAGCAUGUGGAUUAAUUCGAUGCAACGCGAAGAACCUUACCUGGGUUUGACAUGCACAGGACGCGUCUAGAGAUAGGCGUUCCCUUGUGGCCUGUGUGCAGGUGGUGCAUGGCUGUCGUCAGCUCGUGUCGUGAGAUGUUGGGUUAAGUCCCGCAACGAGCGCAACCCUUGUCUCAUGUUGCCAGCGGGUAAUGCCGGGGACUCGUGAGAGACUGCCGGGGUCAACUCGGAGGAAGGUGGGGAUGACGUCAAGUCAUCAUGCCCCUUAUGUCCAGGGCUUCACACAUGCUACAAUGGCCGGUACAAAGGGCUGCGAUGCCGCAAGGUUAAGCGAAUCCUUUUAAAGCCGGUCUCAGUUCGGAUCGGGGUCUGCAACUCGACCCCGUGAAGUCGGAGUCGCUAGUAAUCGCAGAUCAGCAACGCUGCGGUGAAUACGUUCCCGGGCCUUGUACACACCGCCCUACAGGUCAUGAAAGUCGGUAACACCCGAAGCCAGUGGCCUAACCCUUGGGAGGGAGCUGUCGA
rnacentral:rRNA from 1 species